GAAUAUUGGACAAUGGGGGGAACCCUGAUCCAGCCAUGCCGCGUGUGUGAAGAAGGCCUUUUGGUUGUAAAGCACUUUACGCGAGGAGGAGGCUACCUGGAUUACUCCUUUAGGAUAGUGGACGUUACUCGCAGAAUAAGCACCGGCUACCUCGGUGCCAGCAGCCGCGGUAAUACAGCGGGUGCGAGCGUUAAUCGGAUUUAAUGGGCGUAAAGCGUGCGUAGGCGGCCAAUUAAGUCAAAUGUGAAAUCCCCGAGCUUAACUUGGGAAUUGCAUUCGAUACUGGUUGGCUAGAGUAUGGGAGAGGAUGGUAGAAUUCCAGGUGUAGCGGUGAAAUGCGUAGAGAUCUGGAGGAAUACCGAUGGCGAAGGCAGCCAUCUGGCCUAAUACUGACGCUGAGGUACGAAAGCAUGGGGAGCAAACAG
rnacentral:rRNA from 1 species